AUUCCAUCGGCGUCACAGUUCUCUGACCAGUUUUGAACCUUGUUGCAAUGAGAUAAAGCCUAACGACUGGUCAGGUAAGUGUAUUGCCGAUAGUACCUACUUAUACCUUACACAGUAGAUUAAGGAAGAUUAUUGAGUGAUACCGUUCGCCAACAAACUGUCAUGCAGUUUGGCGAAAAAAUAUGUGUAAUGGAUUACUGUUUUUAUUUCUUAUUGUGUAUUUAAAUAAAA